UUACGGAGUGCUGUAUUUGUGAUACUUAAUGCAACAGUGCUGUACUUUACAUAUCUGUAUAAUACUUAUAAUAUCAUUGUUGUUCUAAGUUGAUUAAACCUAUUUAAUUGCAAGCAAAAGUUUAACAGAUCUAAAAAAUAAUUUGAAUUCAUAUUCAGUUAAAAUACAUUUAAUUUUAAUCAGACUAAACUAUAAAAUAAUUGAAUUUCAGUUAGGUGAAUGAGUCAAGUUCUGUAAACUUACAGUCUAACUACAACAAUGAAUUAGAAAAACUUCCAACUUGAACAAAUUUAAUCAUGCGCAUGCGCCACAAUACAACGUCAUGACGGCGCAUUACUUCACCAGAGUUUGAAAAAUGCACCUUCAGCCAUCUUUCUGUGAUCGCGAUGCGCGAGGCAACUUUGCUGAUCAAAGAAGAAAACAAAGGAGCGCACGUUUGGAUGACUACAGAUGAGACGUUAUGUAUUACAAAUAAGAUCAGUACAGAUUUGUUAUUGGAGAUACAGUGCAAGCUGUGUGGAAUCAAAGACCUGUAUGUAUUGAUGAGGCCAGUGUCAGUGAAGAUGGUGUGGUCACUGGAAUCCUGGUGUUUGUGGGAAAUGUGAAGGAGCUUCUCCCAGGAUUCUACAACAGUGUUGUCCUGAUGACUGAGGUAUUUAUUUUUUUUACUUUCUUGCCUCUUUGGAACAUGUUCAUUUAUGCAUACUGUGUAGAGGUGGUUCGCAGCUUCAUGAACAUUUAAGGUUUUCUGCCGAUGAAGAGCUUCUGGGACAUUGACAUAAACAGCACUUCCCUUUCAAGGGAACUCGCGUUGCGUCGAGAAAUUGACGCUGUGGGAACGCAACGCGUUAUGUCGUCAUGAAGCACGUGUGAAAUCCGUCCAAUGGAGUGACGAGACGUCAAAGGCGGGUGACGUCACGACCAG